GUGGGGAAUAUUGCACAAUGGGCGAAAGCCUGAUGCAGCAACGCCGCGUGAGUGAUGAAGGUCUUCGGAUUGUAAAACUCUGUCUUCUGGGACGAUAAUGACGGUACCAGAGGAGGAAGCCACGGCUACCUACGUGCCAGCAGCCGCGGUAAUACGUAGGGGGCGAGCGUUUUCCGGAUUUACUGGGCGUAAAGGGUGCGUAGGCGGAUGUUUAAGUGAGAUGUGAAAUACCCGGGCUUAACCUGGGUGCUGCAUUUCAAACUGGAUAUCUGGAGUGCAGGAGAGGAGAACGGAAUUCCUAGUGUAGCGGUGAAAUGCGUAGAGAUUAGGAAGAACACCAGUGGCGAAGGCGGUUCUCUGGACUGUAACUGACGCUGAGGCACGAAAGCGUGGGUAGCAAACAGGAUUAGAAACCCUGGUAGUCC
rnacentral:rRNA from 1 species